rnacentral:rRNA from 1 species
GUGAGGUAACGGCUCACCAAGGCACCGACGGGUAGCUGGUCUGAGAGGACGAUCAGCCACACUGGAACUGAGACACGGUCCAGACUCCUACGGGAGGCAGCAGCAGGGAAUCUUGCGCAAUGGGCGAAAGCCUGACGCAGCGACGCCGCGUGAGGGAUGAAGGCCUUCGGGUUGUAAACCUCUCAGGAGGGACGAAAUUGACGGUACCUCCAGAAGAAGCCCCGGCCAACUACGUGCCAGCAGCCGCGGUAACACGUAGGGGGCGAGCGUUGUCCGGAAUCAUUGGGCGUAAAGGGCUCGUAGGCGGCUUAGUAAGUCGGCCGUGAAAACCCAGGGCUCAACCCUGGGACGCCGGUCGAUACUGCUAUGGCUAGGGUCCGGUAGAGGAGAGUGGAAUUCCCGGUGUAGCGGUGAAAUGCGCAGAUAUCGGGAGGAACACCAGUAGCGAAGGCGGCUCUCUGGGCCGGUACCGACGCUGAGGAGCGAAAGCGUGGGGAGCAAACAGGAUUAGAUACCCUGGUAGUCCACGCCGUAAACGUUGGGUACUAGGUGUGGCGGACUGAUCAACGUCUGCCGUGCCGAAGCUAACGCAUUAAGUA